rnacentral:rRNA from 1 species
GAGCACGUAGGUGGGUUUGUAAGUCAGGUGUGAAAGCCUUCUGUUCAAAGGAAGAACGGCAUCUGAAACUGCAGAUCUUGAGUGUAGGAGGGGAGAGUGGAACUUCUGGUGGAGCGGUGAAAUGCGUAGAUAUCAGAAGGAACGUCGGCGGCGAAAGCGACUCUCUGGCCUAUUACUGACACUGAGGUGCGAAAGUUAGGGGAGCAAACGGGAUUAGAUACCCCGGUAGUCCUAACCGUAAACGAUGGGCACUAAGUAGAGGGAAUUACCAAUGUUCUCUCUGCCGUAGCUAACGCAUUAAGUGCCCCGCCUGGGGAGUACGGCCGCAAGGCUAAAACUCAAAAGAAUUGACGGGGGCUCGCACAAGCGGUGGAGCAUGUGGCUUAAUUCGAUGCAACGCGAAAAACCUUACCGGGGUUUGACAUGGUAGAAGUAGGAGCCCGAAAGGGCAACCAACGGUAUCCAGUCCGUAGCUAUCACAGGUGUUGCAUGGCUGUCGUCAGCUCGUGUCGUGAGACGUUGGGUUAAGUCCCCUAACGAGCGAAACCCUUGUUUUUAGUUACCAUCGGGUGAUGCCGAGUACUCUAAAAAGACUGCCGUCGUCAAGACGGAGGAAGGUGGGGAUGACGUCAAGUCAUCAUGGCCCUUAUACCCCGGGCUGCACACGUGCUACAAUGGUCGGUACAAAAGGAAGCAAGACCGAGAGGUGAAGCGAAUCC